GGAUGACCCUACAGCACAUCGUUCAGGUGAAACUUUAUACGUGCAGAAGGGGACGAUCCUCUAGAAAGUGCACAGACUGCUGAGGUGACGAGCCAUCCUUCCCGCUGCCCUGGGCUCAUCCUCCCGCUUACAGCCCUUCACUGAUGGACAGUGAGUCCAGCUGCGUCACCCUGACACCCAAGCCCACCUCGGGAGCCCAGCCACCAGGGCUGCUGGGUGAGCGGGCAGCACUCACCAGGCCGCUUGGCCUCUAGAGCUCUCACUGGCCGUGCCCAGGCUGCCCUGCUUGCUAGACGAUUCCACAGAGGCAAUCCUUCCAGUCUCCACCCACGCGCUACUGCCUUAGGUGCAGGACCGGGUAUGCAGCAGGUGCUCAAAACACACGUGCUAAACGAUGAAGCAGAUAGAACAGUUCCCAUUAGUGAAGACCAUGCCACCUGAUGAUGCAUAACUGUCACUUAACUUGUAGAGAAUUUUCAUAAAAAACACAAAGGAACAAAAGAGAAGCAUUUUCAUUCCACAGGGCAAAAAGCCUGAGAUACAAAACUGAGGCUGUCCUUCUGGAAAUUCUUUACGUGAGCUGGGCUACUCUUGAAGCCAGCAAGAAGCACUCUAAAUAGCAGAUGCCCCUUGGAAUUCCUGGGCUGGUCUUCCUCUUAACCUCUAUACACACAGCUUGGUACCGAGAAUCUCAAGAAGGCCACGUCUGAUUAUUGCACUGAAGGCCCUGACGGGGAUCUGGAGCUGGCUCCAGUCUGCAGCUUGCAUAUCGUCAACAAUGACAGUGGACCCUCACUUCAGCGCUCCUAAGGAGAUGGCCACUCAGCCCUUUAAAUCUCUGUAUUACAGGUCCUGUCCUUACCUGCAAUUCCACAAAUCCAAAAGCCCUGAAAACCAAAACUUUUUUCGUAAGUUUGAUGUAAAUUCAUGUGGUGGCAGACUUAAUCUGAACUGACUGGAGGCUGAUUACAGACUUCACAUAAAAAGAGUACAUUUAUUUAUAUAUUCAUAGUGUGCCUAGUCAUAAAUUUUGCUGUAUAAAUAUUACUAUGUUUGUAGGUGCUGUCUUAGAUCUUGCUGGGAGUGUAAUAUAAUAUAUGGUAGAUUCCCUUCUAAAAUAUAUUUUUUAAAAAAUCUGAAUUCUGAAAACAGGUAUCUGGCCCCAAGAGUUUUGGGUAAGGGAUUAUGAACUUAACUAGUAAUACUGUGAUACUUUCUUUGCAUCUCAAG